CUCCCACCCAAAGCUGAAUUAACUUGCUUCUGUAGCAGUAACAGAAAGAUUUUUGCUCUGUCUAAGUACAGACUGAGGGAAAAUGAUGCUGUUGAGUAAACCCUCUAUACUUACCUGCCUCCUCGGUUUCACUGUGGACCAUCUACAGCUAGAAGCCAUUGUUUGGGAUUGUUUACCCUUUGCUAGGAGCUACAGAUGACUUUGCAGGACUCUUCCGAGAGCAAGAAGAGGGACUGUCCUGUCAUAAUCACUGAGGGAAUGGUGACAAAUGGAACAUAGUCAUUCCACAGAGAAACACCAAGAGAAAUACCAAGCAGAGCCAGGAAAUUGCUGUCAGGCAGCAAUGACAUCAGCCCACAGCCCUUGCCAGCCUCCCUCCAUCACGUCAACAGAUCCAGAUCGCUGCUCUGGAAAGGGCCACUCCCUUCCCCUUGAAUCAGAGAGCACAUGAUCAGAUAUAAAAGGCAUUUUAAAAAAAUUUAGAAGAGCGUUGUGAGCACUUGACAUCUAAUGUUGAAUGUGCAAUUCAUUUGUUUUUAUGAAUAAAAUAAUCAGCAUUUUGGAUGGAUCCCCUUCUUCUUGCCCUACUGUUGUCACCCCUUAAAUUUUGCUUUUUUUUCUACAGAGCAAGUUAAAAGGAUAAAAGCUCCUAUUUUAAAAAGUAGAUCAUCCCCUCCACAAUGUAUUUUGUUACCUUAUGCUUUUAGGCUGCAUCCACUGCUGCAAUUGUUUCUCUAGCCUGCUUUUGAGAUUGUGUAUAAUAUCUGUGUUCCUGAGUGAAUCUGUCAUUCUGCGUGUCAAAAGGGUGAGGAACCCAACUGCUAAUUCAAGUUCUUUGCUUGCUUGGCUUGUUCAUUUCAUAAAUAGCAGAAAAUGUUCUUCAGUCAAUGACUGAUUUAUUUUCAAAGUUUAAAAAUGUUAAAAUAUACUUUUUGGAAAAUGGAAUUUGAUCUUCCCAAAGGAGUCACUGACUUUCAGUUUUCAGAUAUUA